GUGAUUAACGCUCAAUACAAUAUUUGACAAGCAGCAUUUGUAGAUUUCUGUUACUACAAUUUACUAUUAUAAUAAUGAUGGAUAGCACCAGUUUCUCCAAAUCAAGCACAUAAUCCAUUUAGCUUCUAGAGGUAUACCCAUCAUGCAUAUGAUCACUUUAUCGGUAGCUAGUAUGAAAAAAUGGGUGGUGGGAAGAUGAUAUGAUUCUGCCUCCCAUUACUGACCCAGCUGCAGAGGGUUGGUGGCCUUCCUAAGCCCAAAGAGGAUUGCUCAUCCUUUCAUUAAUGCAAGAAACUGCUAAGAUCUUUCAACUUUAGCAGGCAGGUGGUAUUUAAACAUGGUCUAAUUAAAAGAAAGAAUGCAAGCAAGAAAACAGUAACUUAUCUGAACACCUUUUCAUUGCGCAUCCUUGCCUUCCCCAGUAUCCAAAAAAGGGGAGUUUAUGAGGGAGAAAACAUACUAGAGGAUCAGAAUAGGUAGGAACUUACCAGAUCUCAUUUAAAUGUAUUCAUCAUUACAGAAAUUACAUUAAAGUAUUUG
rnacentral:lncRNA from 1 species